rnacentral:rRNA from 1 species
UACGUAGGGACCGAGCGUUGUCCGGAAUCAUUGGGCGUAAAGAGCGUGUAGGCGGCUCGCUAAGUCUUGCGUGAAAUCUCGGGGCUCAACCCCGAGCGGUCGUGAGAAACUGGCGGGCUAGAGUGCGGGAGAGGAGAGUGGAAUUCCUGGUGUAGCGGUGAAAUGCGCAGAUAUCAGGAAGAACACCCGUGGCGAAGGCGGCUCUCUGGGAAGGUACUGACGCUGAGACGCGAAAGCGUGGGGAGCGAACAGG